ACCAUCGUACUUUAGAGUCCUACAUAUGUAUUUCGUUAUUUUCUCCUGAUUUGUUCUAUCAUAUUCAUUUAUGUACUGUGGAAAAAAAUAAAACAUAAUUUCAGUCAUUUGUGCAGAUUAAUCUUCUUACAAUUUGAAGGCACGCGUAGAGCAUCUAUAUCAAAAACAAUCUUACAAAUUUAACACCAGAUGAGCUACUAAAAGCUCACGGUAUACCAUGCUAAAGACGGUUACAUAAAAGGCAAUUUAAAAAUAAACUUCGUGUCUCAAAACUAUUUCUUUUGUAUAUCAGAAGCUACUUCGCUUUUUUGAACUGAUCAGUGCGAUUGCUCACCCC
rnacentral:lncRNA from 1 species